rnacentral:misc_RNA from 1 species
UAAAUAUUCAGUUAUCCACCAGUAGUAGCACUCAUGACUAUACCAAUCAUGCUCCAACAAAGUAAAAGAAAUAAAUUUUGUAUUGAAGAGUGAAGAUUCAUUUAAAAAUAUUAUGGACUUGUUUAGUUUGGGGUAUUGUGGGGUCACGAAGUAGAACUUCAUAGGAGUUGCACCUACAAACUUUGUUAAAUCUCAAGAAAUAAAAAACAUAUACAUAUAUUUUACCCAAAAAAAAA